UACAGAGGUGUCAAGCGUUGCUCGGUAUCACUGGGCUUAAAGGGCGCGUAGGCUGUGCGGUACGGUUCGGGUGAAAUCCCUCGGCUCAACCGAGGAACUGCCCGGGCGACGGCCGUGCUGGACUGCAUCAGGGGACGAUGGAACUCCCGGUGGAGCGGUGAAAUGCGUAGAUAUCGGGAGGAACGCCGGUGGCGAAAGCGAUCGUCUGGGGUGCAUGUGACGCUGAGGCGCGAAAGCUAGGGGAGCAAACGGG
rnacentral:rRNA from 1 species